UACGGAGGGAGCUAGCGUUGUUCGGAAUUACUGGGCGUAAAGCGUACGUAGGCGGUUAUUCAAGUCAGAGGUGAAAGCCCGGGGCUCAACCCCGGAACUGCCUUUGAAACUAGAUGACUAGAAUCUUGGAGAGGUCAGUGGAAUUCCGAGUGUAGAGGUGAAAUUCGUAGAUAUUCGGAAGAACACCAGUGGCGAAGGCGACUGACUGGACAAGUAUUGACGCUGAGGUACGAAAGCGUGGGGAGCAAACAGG
rnacentral:rRNA from 1 species